CCUUGGGGUGGUAGGCGUGGCACGACUCCGGGCGCCGCCGCACCUUCUGGGACUUCAUGCGGUUACACUUCACCGUGGCGAUAUACUUGAUCUCCUUGGCGUCCAGCAGGAUGGAUUCGUACUGGCGGGAGCAGUCGCAGUCGGCCUGAGACACGACCAUCAGCAGGUUACUGUCCGGCACCUGCUGCACCACGAACAUCCUGGGAUCAAGAAUCAAUAAUCAAUACACCUGCUGCACCACGAACAUCCUGGGAUCAAGAAUCAAUACACCUGCUGCACCACGAACAUCCUGGAAUCAAUAAUCAAUACACCUGCUGCACCACGAACAUCCUGGGAUCAAGAAUCAAUAAUCAAUACACCUGCUGCACCACGAACAUCCUGGGAUCAAGAAUCAAUACACCUGCUGCACCACGAACAUCCUGGAAUCAAUAAUCAAUACACCUGCUGCACCACGAACAUCCUGGGAUCAAGAAUCAAUAAUCAAUACACCUGCUGCACCACGAACAUCCUGGGAUCAAGAAUCAAUACACCUGCUGCACCACGAACAUCCUGGGAUCAAGAAUCAAUAAUCAAUACACCUGCUGCACCACGAACAUAGAACUAUGUAAAUAUAUCAAUAUAUAUAACUAUGUAACUAUAUAAAUAUAUAUAACUAUGCCCGUGACGCCGGCCCUUUAAGAGCUCCUGCUCCAGGUAAAUCUCACUGACGUUGAUGUUUUCUGAAUGGAGAAAUAAACAGUACAUGACUCCACCACCA